GCCCCUCGCCCCCCACCCUAGCCCCCGGAGCGCCAUUCGCGGAGCGGCUUACGCUAGUCGCCAGGCGUACGGCGCCCCAGCGGCCGGGGAGGUGCGCUGCCCGGCUCCCGUAAAGUUAUUGUGAAUGGGGAGCGGGUGACGUCAGCGCCGAAUGUCAACAAUGUAGCGAUUGAGAGUGUGGGCGUUCCGGGGAGAGCGCGAGCCGCGCGGCGCGGAGCAAACAGCGCCGAGCCGCCGCCGCCUCAGCAGCAGCAGCAGCAGCGACCGUGCACACCCGGGCUGCGGUCGCAGCAGCGCUAACGUGAGCGCCCGCCGCCGCCCUCUCCACCCCGCCUGCCUAUUCCCGCGGCCGCCGGGCUCUUGCUUUCUCUCCGGCCUCCCCUCGACCCUUCCCCUCCCCCUACGCGGCACACUCGGGGGGCUGGGAACGAGCUGCCAUGUGAUGUGCGUCCUCUCCAAGAGCUUUCGGUGACCCCCGAACCGCCCACCGCGCCAGCUCCCGGGAGGAGGCUGCAGGCUAGAAAGACACUGGGAAGAGGAGGCGGAAAAGGACGCAAAGUUCUCUGGCGAGCACAGCUGUCUGCUUUGGGAAGUGAAGUCUACAGCAACGAGGAGAAUCUUUCCAAGCUGCCUCGCACUGUGACAUGUCUGAGCCCUUGCUCCAGUCCCUGCAACAUGAACAAGGUGGACACUCACUGACCUGUCACGAGGUUGCCCUGCAAAGCUUUGGGGUCCAUGUCUGAAUGGAUUGCUGUAGCCUUCUCAUCUCUCCCUUCGCCCAGUUCCCUGCAUCCUAAGACUCGAAGCCAGCGCAGAGCCUGGAAAAAUUACAUGUAAGUUGUGACUGAGGUUUCUUUCCUCGAACCAAGCAAUGGUAAGAAUUUUCUUAGAUGAUAACAACAAGUAGCCUAAACUCACAUCGGUUACUUUUCUUUUAACAAAGCAUCUUGAAAAUUAUAGCUGAGGAAGGGAGCAGGGGUUAGAAUCUUCAUAUUGGUGCCUCCUUAAUGCAGUGGGUCUUUAACUUACACCAGAAUGGUGUAAUGCAGUGGGUCUUUAACUUACACCUGGAGAGCUCGUUAAGGUAUAGCUUCCUGGACCUCAUGCCCAGAAUUUAUGAAUCAGUAGAUUUGGGGCAGGCUGGAAAGUUGCUGUUCUAACAAGUUUCCAGGUGAUGCUGAAGCAGGUGGUCCAGAGACUCCACUUUGAGAAUCACUGCUUUAAUUCACGUGUAACUGAAAGGAUGAACAAUAAAGGGAGAAAAACAUCUUAAAUGUUCACUAUUAAAUGUCACUAAAUUAACAUAUUUAGUAUUUUACUUAACAUACUGACUCAUGUCUCAAGAAAAGAGUUUGUGGGGCACCUGGGUGGCUCAGUCAGUUAAGGGUCUGACUUCAGCUCAGGUCAUGAUCUCAUGGUUCA
rnacentral:lncRNA from 1 species